GCCCUUGUUGCUCUGUUGUUCGUGUUGCUCCCUUCCUCUGUAGAUGACAAUCCUCUGCCGCAGGAGAACACACCCCCGAAGGAUGUGUUCGAGAACCUGAGACGCAGCGGCGACGACCUCAUUGCAGACCAGGAGCAACAGCAUCCAGAUCUUCAGCUCCAGAAGGAGGAGAGCAAGUUCUCGGGGUCCAUGUGAAAUCUGCUCUCAACUUGUCAACAGAGGGAUGAUCAUCCUCUCUGCGGCAGGAGAACACACCCAUGGAGGAGGUUUGAUGGCCUACUCUACACCAGCACCUCCAAAUCUUCGGCUCCAGGAGGAGGUUUCAGAGGGCGAAGUUGGUCAUCAUCAACCUGGGCCUCUACAUGAAGAAGGCGGCGGACGUAUUCUGGAUCUCGUUGGUGCCGAAAGGCUCAUUGAGGACGCGAAGCUGCAGUACUGAACCUGGUUUUCCUAGUGUAUAGUGCUGGACGUAGGCCUAUCUGGGAUGGUCUGUAAUGUUUCUCGCCUCCUUGGGGAGUUGUUGUUCCUUCCUUGCUGAGAUGAUUGAUGUUUUAGGAGAGUUGUUGUUGCUUUCUAUUUACAUGUUGUUGUGGACAUGUGGAUACAUACAUGUA